UACGUAGGGGGCGAGCGUUAUCCGGAUUUACUGGGUGUAAAGGGAGCGUAGACGGCGUCGCAAGUCUGAAGUGAAAGCCCGUGGCUCAACCCCGGGACUGCAUUGGAAACUAUGUAACUAGAGUACCGGAGAGGUAAGCGGAAUUCCUAGUGUAGCGGUGAAAUGCGUAGAUAUUAGGAGGAACACCAGUGGCGAAGGCGGCUUACUGGACGGAAACUGACGUUGAGGCUCGAAAGCGUGGGGAGCAAACAGG
rnacentral:rRNA from 1 species